AGAACGAACGCUGGCGGCGUGCCUAACACAUGCAAGUCCAACGUGAAAGGGGAGCAAUCCCCCGGUAGGGUGGCAAACGGGUGAGUAAUACAUGGGUGAUCUACCUUAGGGAUGGGGAUAUCCUUCCGAAAGGAGGGGCAAUACCGAAUAUUGUCCGGAGCCGUGAAGGGUUCCGGGGAAAGGGAGGCCUCUGAUACAAGCUUUCGCCUUAAGAUGAGCCCAUGGCCCAUCAGCUAGUUGGUAGGGUAAAGGCCUACCAAGGCUACGACGGGUCGCUGGUCUGAGAGGACGACCAGCCACACUGGCACUGAGAUACGGGCCAGACUCCUACGGGAGGCAGCAGUGAGGAAUAUUGCGCAAUGGGGGAAACCCUGACGCAGCAACGCCGCGUGUGGGAAGAAGGCCUUCGGGUCGUAAACCACUUUUGCACGGGACGAAAAAGGGAUAUCGAACAAAUAUCCCCGAUGACGGUACCGUGAGAAUAAGCCACGGCUAACUCUGUGCCAGCAGCCGCGGUAAGACAGAGGUGGCAAGCGUUGUUCGGAACUACUGGGCGUAAAGAGUCUGUAGGUGGUUUGUCAAGUCUUUGGUGAAAGGCCGUAGCUUAACUAUGGGAAUGCCAAAGAGACUGGCAGGCUGGAGGCUGGGAGAGGGAAGCGGAAUUUCUGGUGUAGCGGUGAAAUGCGUAGAUAUCAGAAGGAAGGCCGGUGGCGAAGGCGGCUUCCUGGAACAGUCCUGACA
rnacentral:rRNA from 1 species